CUACGUGAUUAAGAGUUUCCUAACCCUAAUGGACUCUGGUUUUCCUUGUUGUACAGUGAAUCAAAAAAUGUAGGCGAGCAUAUAUACGAGAGCAGCACGGGAUCGUGAUUAGUAGAAUCCGUUGGAUUCUGACUUCGCAAGGAAACGUGUAAAAGACUUGUUCCAUAAGUCUAGAUAUGUCGUAAUAUAAGAAGGGAAGUUUCCUUGUGUUUUAAUUCUUUAUUUUAUCAUUAAUUAAUUAAUAAUGGGAAUUAUCUUUAUACAAGCAUAAUUAUCUUU
rnacentral:lncRNA from 1 species